CCUGCUCAGGACGAACGCAGGCGGCGUGCCUUAAUACAUGCAAGUCGAGCGGAAUGAUGAAGAAGCUUGCUUCUUCUGAUUUUAGCGGCGGACGGGUGAGUAACACGUGGGCAACCUACCUUGUAGAUUGGGAUAACUCCGGGAAACCGGGGCUAAUACCGAAUAAUCCAUUUUGCUUCAUGGCGAAAUGUUGAAAGGCGGCUUCGGCUGUCACUACGAGAUGGGCCCGCGGCGUAUUAGCUAGUUGGUAGGGUAAUGGCCUACCAAGGCGACGAUACGUAGCCGACCUGAGAGGGUGAUCGGCCACACUGGGACUGAGACACGGCCCAGACUCCUACGGGAGGCAGCAGUAGGGAAUCUUCCACAAUGGACGAAAGUCUGAUGGAGCAACGCCGCGUGAGUGAAGAAGGUUUUCGGAUCGUAAAACUCUGUUGUAAGGGAAGAACACGUACGAGAGUAACUGCUCGUACCUUGACGGUACCUUAUUAGAAAGCCACGGCUAACUA
rnacentral:rRNA from 1 species